rnacentral:rRNA from 1 species
GAUGAACGCUGGCGGCGUGCCUAAUACAUGCAAGUCGAGCGAACAGACGAGGAGCUUGCUCCUCUGACGUUAGCGGCGGACGGGUGAGUAACACGUGGAUAACCUACCUAUAAGACUGGGAUAACUUCGGGAAGCCGGAGCUAAUACCGGAUAAUAUAUUGAACCGCAUGGUUCAAUAGUGAAAGACGGUUUUGCUGUCACUUAUAGAUGGAUCCGCGCCGCAUUAGCUAGUUGGUAAGGUAACGGCUUACCAAGGCAACGAUGCGUAGCCGACCUGAGAGGGUGAUCGGCCACACUGGAACUGAGACACGGUCCAGACUCCUACGGGAGGCAGCAGUGGGGAAUCUUCCGCAAUGGGCGAAAGCCUGACGGAGCAACGCCGCGUGAGUGAUGAAGGUCUUCGGAUCGUAAAACUCUGUUAUUAGGGAAGAACAAAUGUGUAAGUAACUAUGCACGUCUUGACGGUACCUAAUCAGAAAGCCACGGCUAACUACGUG